rnacentral:rRNA from 1 species
AGCAGCCGCGGUAAUUCCAGCUCCAAUAGCGUAUAUUAAAGUUGUUGCAGUUAAAAAGCUCGUAGUUGAAUUUCGGGAUCAAUAUGUUGGUCGUGCCUUGGUACGUACUAAUUUAUUGGUUUCUUCCUUCUGACGAACCUUGAUGUCAUUAAUUUGGUGUCUUGGGGAAUCAGGACUGUUACUUUGAAAAAUUAGAGUGUUUAAAGCAGGCUUACGCUUGAAUACAUUAGCAUGGAAUAAUGAAAUAGGACGUUUGAUUCUAUUUUGUUGGUUUCUAGGAUCGACGUAAUGAUUAAUAGGGAUAGUUGGGGGCAUUAGUAUUCAAUUGUCAGAGGUGAAAUUCUUGGAUUUAUUGAAGACUAACUACUGCGAAAGCAUUUGCCAAGGAUGUUUUCAUUAAUCAAGAACGAAAGUUAGGGGAUCGAAGACGAUCAGAUACCGUCGUAGUCU